rnacentral:rRNA from 1 species
GAUAACCCCCCGCCCCGCCCGAGAAUGGCGGACGCGCCGCCGCCGGCGACCCCGGCGCCGCUGGAUCGCGACGUCUGGCUCGCCUGCGCGACCCCGCUCUCCNNNNNNNNNNNNNNNNNNNNNNNNGUCUACUACUUCCCGCACGGCCACUCGGAGCAGUGCCCGGCGCCGCCCCGCGCGCCCGCGCACAGCCUCUUCCCCUGCACCGUCGCCGCCGUCCGCCUCUUCGCCGACCCCAAGACCGACGAGCCCUUCGCCGCCGUCGACCUCGUCCCCGGCCCGCACCGCGACCCGGCGCCCGCCCCCCGCCUCCCCGACGCCAACGCCAACGCCAACGCCGCCGAGGGGUUCCGCUACUACGCCAAGCAGCUCACGCAGAGCGACGCCAACAACGGAGGCGGCUUCUCGGUGCCCCGCUUCUGCGCCGAGCUCGUCUUCCCGCCGCUCGACUUCGAGGCCGACCCGCCCGUGCAGCGGCUGCGCAUGGCCGACCCGCUCGGCCGGGGCUGGGACUUCCGCCACAUCUACCGCGGCACCCCGCGCCGCCACCUGCUCACCACGGGGUGGAGCAAGUUCGUCAACGCCAAGCUGCUCGUCGCCGGGGACGCCGUCGUCUUCAUGCGCCGCGCCGACGGGGAGCUGCUCGCCGGGAUCCGCCGCGCGCCCAGGUACCCCGCCGUCUCCCAGCAGGGCGCCGAGCGCAGGCCCCGCAACGCGCGCGCGCGGGUCCCGCCCGAGGAGGUGGACGAGGCCGUGCGGCUCGCGGCCGAGGGCGCGCCCUUCACCGUCACCUACUACCCGCGCCAGGGCGCCGGGGAGUUCGUCGUGCCCAAGCAGGAGGUGGAGGACGCGCUCGUCGGCGCCUGGGCGCCCGGGGUGCAGGUGCGCAUGAAGUUCCUCGACGCCGAGGAGCGCCGCUCCGAGUGGAUCAACGGCGUCGUCAAGGCCGUCGACCCCUCCAUCUGGCGCAUGCUCGAGAUAGACUGGGAUGAAUCUGUGGUAGGGUCACUAAGAAACAGGUAUGUCAAUGCUUGGCAAGUGGAACUUGUUGGGUACCCUCCCAUCCUCAAGAAGCUCAAGAUCUCCGAGACGACCCUUCCCCCUAUGUGCUCCGGCGAUGUCGGCAUGGCCGACCCGCUGCUGGGGCCAGGCUGCGAGAACAUGGUGAUGCUGCUGGGGUCACCUAUUCCUGCCGGCAUGCAGGGAGCCAGGCACAUCGGCCUCACCGAGCUGCCCUCUCCAUCUCCUACCGUGCUCACAACCAAGCAGUUCUUCCCACCCAGCUCCAGCGGCGGCUCCUCCGAGGUCGUGAACCCUGAAGCUGGAUCCCCGCCCAACAACUCGGUGAACAUGCGUCCCUCUGAGGAAAGGAGGAGCAUACAGCUGUUCGGCGCCACGAUCACGUCGCCGGUGCAGAGCGCCACCAAUGGCUCCUCUGAAGAAGUGAGCCAAGCCCCUGACGCUGCGGCCGAGGGAGCUGCUCAUGAAGACGCUUCUGCCACAAGUCUGCUUGACUGCCAACUCACCAUCGGUAAAGACGACGGCCACGACCGAGACGGUUCCAAGCAAGAAGCCUGA